AAGGGCCCAUAUCAUGCAAAAUCCACUUUUUAGACAUUUUGGAGCGUCCCUAUGACUCUAUGGGUCACAUAUACACACACUGAGCACGGUAGAAAUGCAUUUCCUGCUUUUUUCACAUUUUGAAAACGUAAAUUUUCUCAUCCAAUGAAAACAGCCACGACCUACUCUGAGGCCGUUCCCCAGGUUUCGUCAUACUGGUUGAAAGUUCUCCUUGCAAAUCCUGAACCACCACCCCCACAAUGAUCCUGAACCAAAACUGGACUUCCGCCAUUUCCCCCCUCUCACUCACCGUGAACAGACCAGCACGGCAGCGCCCAAGUCCUCCCAUAGAAAUAGUUCGGUUCUUGGGUGUUCUAACCAACACCAAAGUCUAUUCACUUUACCAAGGGAUCAACAAGUGAGGAUUUGUGGGUCACUUUUAUUUUUAACGGACCGGUGCCAGAAACACUGCCUCAGCAUUUAUACUUAUGUGCAUUUCAAACGAGGGUGCGUACAAUGCUGGAUUUGUUUCACGGCUCCUGUUGGAAAAAAAGGACCUAUUCCUAAAGUCCGUCAUCCACUCACUGAAGGAGCCACAUCCCAGUUGCCCACAUGCAAGGAGGCUGUCAAACAGAAAAAUCACUGCAGACUGUUGGUACACAGACAUCUGCUGCCCAGCUCAGGAGUGAAGGUAUGUAAGUUUGUAUGUACCAACAGUAAGAUAGGUAAUAGAAGAUUUUAAUUGGUAUAUACUGUUUAGAUUUUAUAUUUGAAUUGUAACAACUGUUUAUCUGUUGUUUUAGCACAGACAGGCCUGUCCUCUUGUUUGGUUUAAUUUUUUUUCUGGUAUUGUGUGUUCUUACAUUAGAGAAGGUUUUGACCUACAUAAUAAUUAACAUUUCACUAAUCUACAAUUCUGAUUGCAGUACUUUUUUGUUUUGAUGAGGCGAUGGUGAGGACAGCCACAGCUUCCAUCUGGUAGAGGACUGCUUCCGCUCAGUCUUCCAAAUAGUGAUGAGAACAAGGAUCACCACAUCUCCCUGUUUACCCUACUUUCAUGCAUUUCGUCUGCAAGGCCCUGCAAAAGCUUCUCCUUCGUCCUCAAACCCCCAGACUUCUUAAUUAACUCAGUAACCUAUACAUUGCACAUUGGAGUGUGAAGGUAACAGUUUGUUCUAGCUUUGGAGUAGUGGUGUAUUUUUUUGGUUUACAAUAAAGUUGGCUUUAACUAUUA